rnacentral:rRNA from 1 species
AGAGUUUGAUCCUGGCUCAGGACGAACGCUUGCGGCGUGCCUAAGAAAUGCAAGUCGAGCGAGGUUUAGGCUUCGGCCGAAGACCUAGCGGCGAACGGUCGCGUAACACGUAAGCAACCUGCCCUGGAGUGGGGGAUAGCCCGCCGAAAGGCGGAUUAAUACCGCAUGUGGAUGCUUUCUCGCAUGUGUAAGCAUCUAAAACAGCAAUGUGCUCCAGGAUGGGCUUGCGGCCUAUCAGCUAGUUGGUGGGGUAACGGCCUACCAAGGCGACGACGGGUAGCUGGUCUGAGAGGAUGGUCAGCCGGACUGGGACUGAGAUACGGCCCAGACUCCUACGGGGGGCAGCAAUUAGGAAUCUUGCGCAAUGGGCGAAAGCCUGACGCAGCGACGCCGCGUGACUGAUGAAGUCUUUCGGGAUGUAAAGGUCUUUUGCAGGGGACGAAGGAAGUGACGGUACCCUGCGAAUAAGCCCCGGCUAACUACGUGCCAGCAGCCGCGGUAAUACGUAGGGGGCGAGCGUUGUCCGAAUUUACUGGGCGUAAAGCGCGCGUAGGCGGGUUCUUAAGUUGUGGGUGAAAUGCCGAGGCUCAACCUCGGAACUGCCUGCAAAACUGGGAGCCUUGAGGUAUGGAGAGGGAAGUGGAAUUCCAGGUGUAGCGGUGAAAUGCGUAGAUAUCUGGAGGAACACCCGUGGCGAAGGCGGCUUCCUGGCCAUAUCCUGACGCUGAGGUGCGAAAGCUAGGGGAGCGAACGGGAUUAGAUACCCCGGUAGUCCUAGCCGUAAACGAUGGAUACUAGGUGUUAGAGGUAUCGACCCCUCUAGUGCCGGAGCUAACGCAUUAAGUAUCCCGCCUGGGGAGUACGACCGCAAGGUUGAAACUCAAAGGAAUUGACGGGGGCCCGCACAAGCGGUGGAGCAUGUUGUUCAAUACGUCACUAACCGUAGAACCUUACCCAGGCUUGACAUCUAGGGAAUCCUGAUGAAAGUCGGGAGUGCCUUCGGGAGCCCUAAGACGGGUGUUGCAUGGCUGUCGUCAGCUCGUGUCGUGAGAUGUUGGGUUAAGUCCCGCAACGAGCGCAACCCUCAUCCGAUGUUGCCAGCGUAAGGUCGGGAACUCUUCGGAAACUGCCCGUGUAAGCGGGAGGAAGGUGGGGAUGACGUCAAGUCAGCAUGGCCCUUACGCCUGGGGCUACAAACAUGCUACAAUGGACGCUAACAAAGGGCAGCAAUACCGCGAGGUGGAGCGAAUCUCAAAAACGCGUCCUCAGUUCGGAUUGUAGUCUGCAACUCGACUACAUGAAGUCGGAAUCGCUAGUAACCGCAGGUCAGCUAAACUGCGGUGAAUACGUUCCCGGGCCUUGUACACACCGCCCGUCACGCCACCUGAAUUGUCUGCACCCGAAGUCGAUGGCCCAACCCGCAAGGGAGGGAGUCGCCGAAGGUGUGGGGAGUGAGGGGGACGAAGUCGUAACAAGGUA